rnacentral:tRNA from 1 species
GUUUUUGUGGCUCAGUUGGGUAGAGCAAUCGACUCAUAAUCGAAAAGUCGCAGGUUCGAUUCCUGCCAAAAAACA